rnacentral:lncRNA from 1 species
AGGAAAAAAAUGCCCCAUUUCCAGACAUAAUAAGGCUGGGUUUUGGAAGCAACUCACUCCACGUCUUGUCAUACCUGAUCGGCCUGGCGGGUCCCUCACUGGAGGUGGGGGUCUCUCACUGGGCGGGGGAGGAAGAGGACCUGAACGUCCUGGCGAAGGUAACGGGGGCGUGGACGAACUGAGGGACAGAUUCCGCUGUGGGAGUCUUGGGGUUUCGUCAUUGCCGCUGGAACUUGGAGGCAGAGGAGGCGGCCCGGGCCUGCUGGGAGGUGGCGGCGGAGGUGGGGCCUGUGAGGAGGCCGAAGGCCGCGGAGUGGAAGGCACUGGAGGCUUGUUGUUCUGAGGAGGAGGAGGGGGAACCGCUUCCCUGUGGAUGGAGGGCCUGUUGCCCACUGGAGGAG